AAGCUAAGCCCGUUCGCGCCGAUGGUACUGCCUGGGGGACUGGGUGGGAGAGUAGGUCGCCGCCGGAC
rnacentral:rRNA from 1 species